CGGCGGGCACCGCGGACGAGCCGGGGCCCGCAGCCGAGAUGGUGGCGGCGGCCGGGGGCGCAGCUGGCGACGGAGCGUGCGAGGUCUGAGGCGGCGGCGGCUGCUUGCUGCAAGGGAACAACGUCCAACGAAGCCAACGGGAAGGUCUAUGCAUGUUCAGUUCAGAUGCUUGUCCUCGCAAGUAUUUCCCAUUCAUGGUUAGUAGAAUCUACAGAACAGAACCUCCCUGAUUGGCCUGGUACUCACUAUAUAGACCGAGACGGCUUUAACGUGAAUUAGACUGACUGUGGACUUCACAGACACAUAUCACCUUUCAGCAAAGACUGGAGUUCAGCAAUGAUGUCAGUGAUAGGUGGGAUCACGCCUUAACCAAACCUCUUAGCUGUGUAUAUCACUCUGGUUCUUCUCUUGAGCCCAGACUUCAUGUCCCUCUGCCCGAAUGACUCCAGCUUGGGUCACACUGACAUAAAACUCGCCGGAACAAGGUUGAUAUUUCAAAAAGAAAACGUCUCCGUCUCCUCAUCAACUCAUUCUCACUUAAAGGCACAGGCGGUUCAAGUCACUCUUCAGAAAAGUUAAUAUAGUCAUCUUCAUGCAGUUAGCCUUUCCCCUGCUGGAGAGGCUAACAGGGGAAAAUAAUAAAGACAUCGCCUUCAAGACGCAAGGCGUUUCAAAGUAAACGGAUAGCUCAGGAAGUGUAGAGCUUGUGGGGAGAGCAGAAAACCCUGAGUGACUCAAGUCCGGAGUCAAAGUGUGCUGUUGACAUGGACACAGUCAAGUCAAGGAUGGUAGCUUUAGACCGGGGUGGGGGGGUGGGGGGUG